UACGUAGGGGCUAGCGUUAUCCGGAAUUACUGGGCGUAAAGGGUGCGUAGGUGGUUUCUUAAGUCGGAGGUGAAAGGCUACGGCUCAACCGUAGUAAGCCUUUGAAACUGGGAAACUUGAGUGCAGGAGAGGAGAGUGGAAUUCCUAGUGUAGCGGUGAAAUGCGUAGAUAUUAGGAGGAACACCAGUUGGAAGGCGGCUCUCUGGACUGUAACUGACACUGAGGCACGAAAGCGUGGGGAGCAAACAGGAUUAGAUACCCUGGUAGUCCCUGAGCGGG
rnacentral:rRNA from 1 species